rnacentral:rRNA from 1 species
UACGUAGGGUGCAAGCGUUGUCCGGAAUCAUUGGGCGUAAAGCGCGUGUAGGCGGUUCGGUAAGUCUGCUGUGAAAGUCCAAGGCUCAACCUUGGGAUGCCGGUGGAUACUGUCGGGCUAGAGUGCGGAAGAGGCGAGUGGAAUUCCCGGUGUAGCGGUGAAAUGCGCAGAUAUCGGGAGGAACACCAAUUGCGAAGGCAGCUCGCUGGGACGUAACUGACGCUGAGACGCGAAAGCGUGGGGAGCAAACAGG